AUGCCCAGAAAUCCAGGUGGGGGCUCAGAAACGCCCAUGGAGAGACCCAGGGAGCAGGGAGAGUCACAAGGAGGGUGCCAGGGUGCCCAGAAAUCCAGGUGGGGGCUCAGAAACGCCCAUGGAGAGACCCAGGGAGCAGGGAGAGGUGCUUGGAGGGCUCUGGGCUCACUGACAGAAUUCCCUGAGGUGCUGGCAGGCCAGGGAGGGCUCUGGGGUGCAAGGGAAGGCAGAAGGAGAACGUUGGGGUACAGUGAACAUCCUCAGAGGCCUCGAGAACCCCAAAAGCCACUUGGAAGGCUCUGGGGGUGCACACACUCACUCACACAGGAAGGGAGGUGUAGGAAAAACCAAAUGCCGCUCAGUUACCACUGCAGAAAGGGCACCUGGAGGGCUCUGUUGGGAGGACCCGGGGCUCAGGGAUGCAGCACAAGGCAGGCAGAGGCUCCUGGGGCACAGCCACAGCCUCUCCCAUGCCCGGGGGAUUCCUGGGAACACCAGGAACAGGGCUGUGGCCAUGGGGCUCUGGCUCUCUUGCAGAGAAACCCGGGUGUGUCCCGGGGGACGAGCAGCAGCCUCUGUCCCACUCUGCUGGCCAUCCCACGCUUUGGAAGCUUUCCCUCGGUGUCAGCAGAGCUGCAGGGCCCAGCUGGGGGAGAUCUCAGCAGCUCCUUCCUCCCAAGGGCUGUUUUCCUGCCCUGCCUGUGGCAGUUCUGCCCAGGUGCUGCUGGGGGGAUCCCUCUGAGUGUUUGGUGUCUGCAGCCUGCUCCAGCCAAAGCAGUGUGUGCUCUGUGCCAGCUGCCAGCAGCAUCUGAACCUCCCAAACUGCUGCAAACCCCCCCUCCAGCACUGAGAGGAGUGAGGCUGCCUCUCACCAGCCUUUUCCUCAGGAUUUUCCUUCUGGAUAACGUUGACAUCAUGUCUGGGGCAGGCAAGUGGCUGCAGCCCUGCACACACCUGGGAGCUGGAGCUGGUGCGUGGCCAGGCUGGGUUUGCCACUGAGCUUUUGGCUGAGGAUGAUCCCUCAGCCUCGGGGGAUGCAGGAAUUGCAGCCACCAGCCCCAGGGACGUGCAGCAGCUCCCGUGGAUCCCUUGGGAAAGCCCACAGCCACCUGCUUCUCCAGCACCGCCCCUUUCCCUGUUCCCCCUCCCUGUCCAUGAGUGUAAAUACAACACAGUCUAGUUUGCUUGGAUGCUGUGGGUGCUCUGUUUCAGGCAGGGAUGUCUGUGGGGCUUGGCUUGGCUCUUUUGGGGUGGCUCUGGGGCUCUGUGCCUCAGUUUCCCUGUGGAUGAUCACUGACAGUACCUGGAGCUGGCUGGGGAUCAGACCUGCACCCCCAGAUCUCAAACCCACCAGGGGCUGGGCUGGAUGAUCCCCAGAGGUCACUGCAACCCUGACAAGUCUGGAUGAGCAGGAAGCCCUGGCUGGGUUUGAGGGGCUCUGAGGUUCUCCUCUUGUCUGCUGUCACCCCCUUGGGGCAGGAAAGGGAGUUUGGGACAGCAAAGCCUCCCCUUCCCAUAUCCAUGUGGGCAUUUGGGCUGUGUGUGGCACCAGGGGUGACUUCAGCAAGGCUUGGCUUGGUGACAUCUCUGUGGGGGGACACGGGAAUGUGGGAGGAUGGAUGGACAGGAGGGAGGGCCUGCAUGAAAGCAGAGCUCCGAGGGCCUGGUGGGCACAGCAGAGCCCCCCUGUCCCCAUUGCUGUCCCGAGGCAUCAGAACCUCCUCCAGCCCCUCUGCCCGUGGGACAGAUCAGAUCCUGAUCGGGUUUCACGGUGAUUCAGAGCAGGGGAGUGACCGAUCCACCUGCAGGCCCUGCUGCCAUCCAGAGGGACCCUGAGGGGCUGCGUGGGGGCAAACCUGGGGGGGUUCAACAAGGGCAAGUGUAGAGUCCUUGUAGACCCCCCAGGGGCCAGCACGGGCUGGGGUGACCCAUGGAGAGCAGCUCUGCAGAGGGACCUGGGGGUGCUGGGGGAUGGCAAACUGUCCCUGAGCCAGCAGAG
ensembl:lncRNA